CGUACGCAUUGGAACGCAAUAGUGUGAACCGGGCUUUACACUGUUCGACUCUGAAGUAUAUUGCUCGGAUCUGUAUCCAGAUGUGUCAUUCGCAACGCAACAGUGACACGAAAUCUUCCUUUCACGCAUAUAUUCACAUUGACUUCCUUGGUGUGUGGGAUGGAAACAAUUAUUCGAAGCACGAAGGGAGAAUAGGAGAAGAAAUGAGGCUCUGUGAUUGUGCACAAAAUUCGUCCGACAAAUCCUCUGUUCGGUGCCCUACGUUUGUACGAUUUAAUCACCGCACAGGAUAUAGAGUGCUGUUGGAUUACCACUGGCGUCGCGAAACCGGGAAGUUUCAUGCGGUGAUUGUGCACUCAGCGUUCCCGUGGGAUCAUGACGCGAG